CAGCGCCUCAAGUGGGAGCCGUUUUUAUUGGGCCUAAAGCGUCCGUAGCAGGUUGAGUAAAUCUCUUGUGAAAUUGUCCAGCUUAACUGGGCAGCGUGCAGGAGACACUUCUCGACUAGAAACCGGGAGGAGUGAGAGGUAUUUUGGGGGGAGCGGUAAAAUGCUAUAAUCCCCGAAGGACCACCGAUGGCGAAGGCAUCUCACCAGAACGGAUUUGACUGUGAGGGACGAAAGCCAGGGGAGCGAACCGGAUUAGAUACCCGAGUAGUCC
rnacentral:rRNA from 1 species